AGUGAACGCUGGCGGCGUGCUUAACACAUGCAAGUCGAACGAGACCGGGAUUAGCUUGCUAAUCUGUCAGCUAAGUGGCGCACGGGUGAGUAAUAUAUAGGUAACGUGCCUUCAAGAGGGGGAUAACAGAUGGAAACGUCUGCUAAAACCCCAUAUGCCUUUAAUGCGAAAGUAUGCAAGGGAAAUAUUUAUAGCUUGAAGAUCGGCCUGUACAGUAUCAGAUAGUUGGUGAGGUAAUAGCUCACCAAGUCAAUGACGCUUAACUGGUUUGAGAGGAUGAUCAGUCACACUGGAACUGAGACACGGUCCAGACUCCUACGGGAGGCAGCAGUGGGGAAUAUUGCACAAUGGGGGAAACCCUGAUGCAGCAACGCCGCGUGGAGGAUGACACAUUUCGGUGCGUAAACUCCUUUUAUAUAAGAAGAUAAUGACGGUAUUAUAUGAAUAAGCACCGGCUAACUCCGUGCCAGCAGCCGCGGUAAUACGGAGGGUGCAAGCGUUACUCGGAAUCACUGGGCGUAAAGAGCGUGUAGGCGGAUAGAUAAGUCAGAAGUGAAAUCCAAUAGCUUAACUAUUGAACUGCUUUUGAAACUGUCUAUCUAGAGUAUGGGAGAGGUAGAUGGAAUUUCUGGUGUAGGGGUAAAAUCCGUAGAGAUCAGAAGGAAUACCGAUUGCGAAGGCGAUCUACUGGAACAUAACUGACGCUGAGACGCGAAAGCGUGGGGAGCAAACAGG
rnacentral:rRNA from 1 species